rnacentral:lncRNA from 1 species
GCCCGCCGUCAGCACGUCACGUCACCGCCCGGGAGAGAGACCCAGGAAAAUGCGGAAGGGUAGACAGGCCCCCUCCUCCGCCCGGUGGGUCCUCCUGGCACCCCGUGUCGGCGCCGCUCCCGCCCCGCGACCGGGGAGCCCAGUGGCCUCGCUGCGGCGGGGUCUCCGGCGGCCGGAGUCUCCGUGACAGCGCCCCCCUUCUUUCCACCUCCUCCGCGCUCCCGCCCGCCGCCGCCACACACGCGCCGCUGCCGCCGCCGCCUCGGCCGUAAAGCCCGCGCGGGGCCGCGGUCGGCCGACCCCGCGGAGAGGCAGGCGGCCCGGCCGCCCCCCACCAUGUCCCGUGGGCCGCGGCCGCCCCCCGGGGGCCUCCCUGGAGACCUACCGCCUCUCGCGCCGGUCCUGGCCGAGGCUCCAGCUCGAGUUGUUUGCAGGCCCUCAGACCCCCGCCCGCAGUAAAUGUGUUUUCUUCAUCCCCGUGGCUGGGGAGGAAGAUAAAUUUAGCAACCCCCGCCGUCCCCUGCCUUCGCUUAAAAAAAAAAAAUCUUUGAAAUAAAAUGAAAACGGGCUUGCCAGUCUAAAUGGGUGUGCGGGAAGGGGGGUGGAGUGGGGGGAGAAGGGUUAUCCCUAGAGCACCUACCAGGCCGUCUACUUUUUAAAAAUAAGCAGUCAGAGCCAAACUGAUUUUAUUAGUUUGUACGGGGGAGGGAGAUGAGCAAAGUUGCAUUUUGAAACGUUUCGCACGUUGCAAAGAACAGGAAUUUUCUGUGUAUUUUCCUAUGUACCCGUGUUUCAGAGCUUGGGAGCCUGUGAAAUGUAAGACUGGUGUCAUCGUUUCAUAAAUCAUGAAUUUUCCACAUUCCUUAAUAGAGAGGAGCCCAAUUGGGUAUGGAUUUUUUUUUUUUUAAACACACUGCUUAAACAAGCCUUUUGAAGUUUCAAAAGACUUGGGAGAGAAGGGGAAAAUGAUUAAACAGCACUUACCAACUUCAAAAAUGUGUAUUUCGCACUUUACUUAGUUUAAAUGUUUAUGCUAUCUUUCCAUGCUGAACUUGGAACCCAAACUCUGUUUUAAAGUUACUAGGGAAAAGUUAAAUAGUGGAGUCUUUACAUUAAUCUGGAAUCUGGCAUGCUAUCCUUUAACACAGCACUAAAUGUUAAAGGCAUUUUUAAACAAUAAGAAACACAAAAAUUAUAAAGCAAAUAGUAUACUGGUGUGAAAUCUCUUUAAAUACAGAGGCCACGUAUUUUAGUUGCCUGACAUAACUCUUUAAAACUCCCAGAAUGCAAUUUGUCCCUUCCCUCAGACAUCUCUCAAUCACAAAUGCUUUCAAAAAGGAAAAACAAAAGUAGAGUAAGAAGAAAUCUCUGAGCAUGCACUGGAUGAUAAUUUUCCUCUCGGGGCUUUAGUCUGAAUUUUUCCAAGCGAUUAAAUUUCCUUUCAAAAAUAGUAACAGCAUGUAUUCAUUGUUUAUAAAAAUUACAUCAGGCUGUGAUAGACUUUCACAGAAAGACAUUUCACAGAAAGGUAAAUGAAACUAAGCAAUGUUGUUUCAAUAAAAAAAAAUGAGAAAUAGCUUGUGUGCCCACAUUAAUAUUUCUUGCACUCCCAGACUGGAGUGCAAUGGCGUGAUCUUGGCUCACUGAACCUCUGCCUUCGGGGUUCAAGCGAUUCUCCUGCCUCAGCCUCCCGAGUAGCUGGGAUUACAGGCACUUGCCACCACGCCUGGCUAAUUUUUCUAUUUUUUUAGUAGAGAUGGGG